rnacentral:misc_RNA from 1 species
GCUAGGAUCACUAAGACCUUCACCCAGGCCAUACAGAGUGAAAAAGCAGCACUAGCCACGCAAUACGGGGCCAUUGCUGGGCUCGGAGAAAUGGGGUCAGAGGUCAUCAAAUCAUUUCUUCUGCCACAUGUUAAAGAUAUUGGUGAAAAGGUUAAAAUUGUUUUGGAGGGUCCUAUCUUAAACUCAGCAGACAAAAUAGCAGCAGAAAAUAUUAAAAAAUCAUUGGCGAAAUAUCUUUCCCCGGUGCUCAAGGCUCUGAAGGGUCCUUCUGCCUCUAUUGAGGACUACACGGCAGAAUUUGGCUCCCUGGGAAGCAUGCUUCACACCGCGGUGGGAAGAGAGAGAAAGUCAUCCGGCAACCAGGGCAAUCAGCUGGCCAAGAUUGCGGCAGGCACACCCACCCAGGAGAGGUCAAGGCCAACAGUUACCAUCCCAACGCCUCGGUCCCAGUUUGUCAUUCAACAAUCUUCAUCCAUUGGAAAUAUGCCAGGGACACCAAAACAGGUCCAAGGUGGCAUACGUACCCCAGGCACUCCCUCCAUCAUCCAAGGUGGUCAACCCAAAACUCCCAGCACUCCAGGGCAGCAGAAGUUCAUUGUCAUGACCUCACAAGCCAGACCCAGUAACAAUGGACAAUCUGACAAACCUCUCUCCAUGAGUUCAGGGACACCCACUGUGGUCAAGGUCAUGUCGGGCAACCCUCAAGGUCAAAUACCAACAGCAGUGCCUCGGACACCCACUACACCUAAAAUUGUGGUGAUGUCGAUGACCCAGGGGAAUUCCUCCCUCCCCGGACAGGCGGGGGGUAACAGUCAGGACCUGGGCAUGAGGAGUGUGUUCAGUGAACAGAUUAAUAACAUUAAAAAAGAAAAUGAAAAUAGCUAAGAGUAAACAUUACAAAAAUAGCAAGAUAUUUUUAUUAAAAUGAAAUAAAUGUAUCAUAUGAAUGAUCUGACAGAGGAGGAUGAACCAUGUGGGAAUGUAGAGCACUUCAUUUGUGGAUGCUAAGGGACAUAAAGUUAAAUUAGCCAGGAGUUUAAUGACAUGAAUGAAAAUGAAAGCUGCCAGGCGUUCUGUGACAAAAAUAAUGUGAAACUUGACUGGAGGCAGCAUUAAAGUUAAAUGAAUGCUGGUUUUUUUUAAAGAGAUUGAAAGCAACUAGUGGUUGAAACUAUGUUCAAUGAACAGUUGCUUGAUAAUAAAAGGUAAAACAAG